GGACCCGCACAAGCGGUGGAGUAUGUGGUUUAAUUCGAUGCAACGCGAAAAACCUUACCAGGGUUUGAAAUAAUUUCAAAACUUCUUGAAAGAGAAGCCUCCUUCGGGAUGGAAUUACAGGUGGUGCAUGGCUGUCGUCAGCUCGUGUUGUGAAAUGUCAAGUUAAGUCUUGUAACGAGCGCAACCCAUGUCUCUUGUUGCUGUUUACAGUGCUUAAGAGAAACUGUCGAUCAACAUCGGAGGAAGGUGUGGAUGAUGUCAAGUCAGCAUGCCCCUUACAUCCUGGGCUACACACGUACUACAAUGGUCGAGACAAAGGGUCGCUAACCUGCAAAGGCAUGCCAAUCUCAUAAACUCGAUCUCAGUUCGGAUUGUACUCUGCAACUCGAGUACAUGAAGGUGGAAUCGCUAGUAAUCGCUGGUC
rnacentral:rRNA from 1 species